UACGUAGGGUGCAAGCGUUGUCCGGAAUUAUUGGGCGUAAAGAGCUCGUAGGCGGUUUGUCGCGUCUGCUGUGAAAACUCGGGGCUUAACCCCGGGCCUGCAGUGGGUACGGGCAGACUAGAGUGCGGUAGGGGAGACUGGAAUUCCUGGUGUAGCGGUGAAAUGCGCAGAUAUCAGGAGGAACACCGGUGGCGAAGGCGGGUCUCUGGGCCGUUACUGACGCUGAGGAGCGAAAGCGUGGGGAGCGAACAGG
rnacentral:rRNA from 1 species